rnacentral:rRNA from 1 species
CCUACGGGAGGCAGCAGUGGGGAAUAUUGGACAAUGGGGGGAACCCUGAUCCAGCGACGCCGCGUGAGUGAAGAAGUAUUUCGGUAUGUAAAGCUCUAUCAGCAGGGAAGAAAGAAAUGACGGUACCUGACUACGAAGCCCCGGCUAACUACGUGCCAGCAGCCGCGGUAAUACGUAGGGGGCAAGCGUUAUCCGGAUUUACUGGGUGUAAAGGGAGCGUAGACGGCGAUGCAAGUCUGAAGUGAAAGGCGGGGGCCCAACCCCUGGACUGCUUUGGAAACUGUAGGGCUGGAGUGCAGGAGAGGUAAGUGGAAUUCCUAGUGUAGCGGUGAAAUGCGUAGAUAUUAGGAGGAACACCAGUGGCGAAGGCGGCUUACUGGACUGUAACUGACGUUGAGGCUCGAAAGCGUGGGGAGCAAACAGGAUUAGAUACCCUAGUAGUC